CCUACGGGUGGCAGCAGUGGGGAAUAUUGCUCAAUGGGCGCAAGCCUGAUGCAGCGACGCCGCGUGAGUGAAGAAGUCUUUCGGUUUGUAAACCUCUUUCAGCAGGGACGAAAAUGACGAUGCUUGCUUAGGAAGCACCGGCUAACGACGUCCUAGCAGCCGCGGUAAUAAGUAGGGGGCAAGAGUUAUCCGGCUUUACUGGGUGUAAAGGGAGCGUAGAAGGCAGCGCAGGUCCGAAGUGAAAUGACGGGGCUUAACCACGGGACUGCUUUUGAAACUGUGCAGCUAGAGUGCAGGUGAGGGAAGUGGAAUUCCUAGUGUAGCGGUGAAAUGCGUAGAUAUUAGGAGGAACACCAGUGGCGAAGGCGGCUUACUGGACUGUAACUGACGCUGAGGCGCGAAAGCGUGGGGAGCAAACAGGAUUAGAUACCCGGGUAGUC
rnacentral:rRNA from 1 species